rnacentral:rRNA from 1 species
AGUAACGGCGAGUGAACGGAGAUUAGCCCAGCAUCGAAGCCAAUUCGUGAAUACGGACAAGGCAAUGUGAUGUUUAGGCACGCAUCUUGGAUGGCUCGUCUAUUCGAAGUCCAACUCCGAUUAUGGCUUUGGAUUUGUCCCAUAGAGGGUGAAAGGCCCGUUCGAGUAGACACUGUUGUUUUUGAGCCUUCUUUUGAUAUGCGUGCUUUGGAGUCGGAUUGCUUGAGAAUGCAGUCCAAAGUGGGUGGUAAACUCCAUCCAAGGCUAAAUACUGGCACGAGUCCGAUAGUAGACAAGUACCGUGAGGGAAAGUUGAAAAGUACUCUGAAGAGAGAGUAAAUAGUACGUGAAGCCGACUGAAUGGAAUCUGGUGGAGUCAAGCUUCUUGCCUUCGGAAUUGGCACAAGGAUUCUUUUUGUUCUUUUGAAGCGUGGCGCGGUUAGCUUGUAAAUAGCUUGGUGGUUCGCCAUCUUAAGUUAUCCGGGCUGGUCACUUGUAAUGCGCCGUGUUCUUUGAUCCUUUGUGUUAUUUCCUUGGGCAUGUAUCAUGGUCAAUAUGCUUGCUGUGUGUGUCAGUCAAACCGGAUUUUUGUGAGUAAUAGCUUGCUUGAUUCGGGAGGGCAGGUGGUGACUGUUUGGUUUUUAUCAUUCAGUCACGUAUAGUGGUUUUACUUGCCGACUGGAACGCUUUAAAUACUGUCAAGUGUAUUGUUUUUAUAAUAAAUGUUGCCUCGUCGGGCGCUUUUAUGAGAGCCAUGGUUUUGAAGUAGACCUUCCUCCGGACCCGUCUUGAAACACGGACCAAGGAGUUUAACUUGCUCGCGAGUCAAUGGAUUGUUCUCAAAUCCAGUGGCGCAAUGAAAGUGAACGGUUGCUUUUCGUAGCCGAAGGUGUGAUCUUUGCUAGUCCUGAACAGGGUGGCAGGUAGUAACACCGGCCCGUCUCGUAAUGUAGUCACGCUAGUUACGGCUGGUGUGCGUCAUUGAGGCGGAGCAAGAGCGAGCAGGUUGAGACCCGAAAGAUGGUGAACUAUGCUUGCGUAGGUUGAAGCCAGAGGAAACUCUGGUGGAGGACCGUCGCGGUUUUGACGUGCAAAUCGAUCGUCAAACGUGAGCAUAGGGGCGAAAGACUAAUCGAACCAUCUAGUAGCUGGUUCCCUCCGAAGUUUCCCUCAGGAUAGCUGGCACUCAUUUAAUACAGUUUUAUCCGGUAAAGCGAAUGAUUAGAGGUAUUGGGGACUAUAUGACCUCAACCUAUUCUCAAACUAUAAAUGGGUACGAUGCAUGGCUCGCUUAAUUGGAGUUGUGCAUUGAAUGUGAGUGCCAAGUGGGCCAUUUUUGGUAAGCAGAACUGGCGCUGUGGGAUGCUCCGAACGUCAAGAUAAGGUGCCCAAUGUUGACGCUCAUGAGACACCACAAAAGGUGUUAAUGCAUAUAGACAGCAGGACGGUGGCCAUGAAAGUCGGAAUCCGCUAAGGAG